rnacentral:rRNA from 1 species
GACGAACGCUGGCGGCGUGCUUAACACAUGCAAGUCGAACGGUAAGGCCCCUUCGGGGGUACACGAGUGGCGAACGGGUGCGUAACACGUGAGCAACCUGCCCUUGACUCUGGAAUAACAGUUGGAAACAGCUGCUAAUACUGGAUAUUCAUCGUCUCCUUCCUGGGGGGUGGUGGAAGGCUCCGGCGGUCAGGGAUGGGCUCGCGGCCUAUCAGCUUGUUGGUGAGGUAAUGGCUCACCAAGGCUUCGACGGGUAGCCGGCCUGAGAGGGCGACCGGCCACACUGGGACUGCGAUACGGCGCAGACGCCUACGGGAGGCAGCAGUGGGGAAUAUUGCACAAUGGGCGCAAGCCUGAUGCAGCAACGCCGCGUGCGGGAUGAUGGCCUUCGGGUUGUAAACCGCUUUCAGUAGGGACGAAGGGUGACUGACGGUACCUACAGAAGAAGGACCGGCUAACUACGUG